GUAGGGUGGCAAGCGUUGUCCGGAAUUAUUGGGCGUAAAGCGCGCGCAGGCGGUCCUUUAAGUCUGAUGUGAAAGCCCACGGCUCAACCGUGGAGGGUCAUUGGAAACUGGGGGACUUGAGUACAGGAGAGGAAAGCGGAAUUCCAAGUGUAGCGGUGAAAUGCGUAGAGAUUUGGAGGAACACCAGUGGCGAAGGCGGCUUUCUGGUCUGUAACUGACGCUGAGGCGCGAAAGCGUGGGGAGCAAACAGGAUUAGAUACCCUGGUAGUCCACGCCGUAAACGAUGAGUGCUAAGUGUUAGGGGGUUUCCGCCCCUUAGUGCUGCAGCUAACGCAUUAAGCACUCCGCCUGGGGGGUACGGCCGCAAGGCUG
rnacentral:rRNA from 1 species